AGAGUUUGAUCAUGGCUCAGAUUGAACGCUGGCGGCAGGCCUAACACAUGCAAGUCGAGCGGUAGCACAGAGAGCUUGCUCUCGGGUGACGAGCGGCGGACGGGUGAGUAAUGUCUGGGAAACUGCCUGAUGGAGGGGGAUAACUACUGGAAACGGUAGCUAAUACCGCAUAACGUCGCAAGACCAAAGUGGGGGACCUUCGGGCCUCAUGCCAUCAGAUGUGCCCAGAUGGGAUUAGCUAGUAGGUGGGGUAACGGCUCACCUAGGCGACGAUCCCUAGCUGGUCUGAGAGGAUGACCAGCCACACUGGAACUGAGACACGGUCCAGACUCCUACGGGAGGCAGCAGUGGGGAAUAUUGCACAAUGGGCGCAAGCCUGAUGCAGCCAUGCCGCGUGUAUGAAGAAGGCCUUCGGGUUGUAAAGUACUUUCAGCGGGGAGGAAGGCGUUGAGGUUAAUAACCUCAGCGAUUGACGUUACCCGCAGAAGAAGCACCGGCUAACUCCGUGCCAGCAGCCGCGGUAAUACGGAGGGUGCAAGCGUUAAUCGGAAUUACUGGGCGUAAAGCGCACGCAGGCGGUCUGUCAAGUCGGAUGUGAAAUCCCCGGGCUCAACCUGGGAACUGCAUUCGAAACUGGCAGGCUAGAGUCUUGUAGAGGGGGGUAGAAUUCCAGGUGUAGCGGUGAAAUGCGUAGAGAUCUGGAGGAAUACCGGUGGCGAAGGCGGCCCCCUGGACAAAGACUGACGCUCAGGUGCGAAAGCGUGGGGAGCAAACAGGAUUAGAUACCCUGGUAGUCCACGCCGUAAACGAUGUCGAUUUGGAGGUUGUGCCCUUGAGGCGUGGCUUCCGGAGCUAACGCGUUAAAUCGACCGCCUGGGGAGUACGGCCGCAAGGUUAAAACUCAAAUGAAUUGACGGGGGCCCGCACAAGCGGUGGAGCAUGUGGUUUAAUUCGAUGCAACGCGAAGAACCUUACCUGGUCUUGACAUCCACAGAACUUUCCAGAGAUGGAUUGGUGCCUUCGGGAACUGUGAGACAGGUGCUGCAUGGCUGUCGUCAGCUCGUGUUGUGAAAUGUUGGGUUAAGUCCCGCAACGAGCGCAACCCUUAUCCUUUGUUGCCAGCGGUUAGGCCGGGAACUCAAAGGAGACUGCCAGUGAUAAACUGGAGGAAGGUGGGGAUGACGUCAAGUCAUCAUGGCCCUUACGACCAGGGCUACACACGUGCUACAAUGGCAUAUACAAAGAGAAGCGACCUCGCGAGAGCAAGCGGACCUCAUAAAGUAUGUCGUAGUCCGGAUUGGAGUCUGCAACUCGACUCCAUGAAGUCGGAAUCGCUAGUAAUCGUAGAUCAGAAUGCUACGGUGAAUACGUUCCCGGGCCUUGUACACACCGCCCGUCACACCAUGGGAGUGGGUUGCAAAAGAAGUAGGUAGCUUAACCUUCGGGAGGGCGCUUACCACUUUGUGAUUCAUGACUGGGGUGAAGUCGUAACAAGGUAACCGUAGGGGAACCUGCGGUUG
rnacentral:rRNA from 1 species